UACGUAGGUGGCAAGCGUUAUCCGGAUUUACUGGGUGUAAAGGGAGCGUAGACGGCAGUGCAAGUCUGAAGUGAAAGGCAAGGGCUCAACCCUUGGACUGCUUUGGAAACUGUGCUGCUGGAGUGUCGGAGAGGCAAGUGGAAUUCCUAGUGUAGCGGUGAAAUGCAUAGAUAUCACGCAGAACCCCGAUUGCGAAGGCAGCCUUCCGGCGCCCUACUGACGCUGAGGCACGAAAGUGCGGGGAUCGAACAGG
rnacentral:rRNA from 1 species